ACGGAGGGUGCAAGCGUUAUCCGGAAUCACUGGGUUUAAAGGGUGCGUAGGCGGUUGUAUAAGUCAGUGGUGAAAGGCCGUAGCUUAACUAUGGGAUUGCCAUUGAUACUGUAUGACUUGAAUGAGGUUGAGGUUGGCGGAAUGUGGCAUGUAGCGGUGAAAUGCUUAGAUAUGCCAUGGAACAUCGAUUGCGAAGGCAGCUGACUGGACCUGAAUUGACGCUGAGGCACGAAAGCGUGGGGAGCGAACAGGAUUAGAUACCCUGGUAGUCCACGCCCUAAACGAUGCUUACUCGUUGUUUGAUCGAAAGAUUGAGUGACUAAGCGAAAGCGAUAAGUAAGCCACCUGGGGAGUACGACCGCAAGGUUG
rnacentral:rRNA from 1 species